CUACGGCCACAUUCACGUUGAAAAACCACUUUCCGUACGAUCACCGAAGUUAAGCAAUCUCGAGCCUGGUCAGUACCUAGAUGAGUGACCGCUUGGGAAUACCAGGUGCUGUAA